rnacentral:rRNA from 1 species
GUUGUUGGGUAGGGGAGCGUUCUGUAAGCCUGCGAAGGUGUGCUGUGAGGCAUGCUGGAGGUAUCAGAAGUGCGAAUGCUGACAUAAGUAACGAUAAAGCGGGUGAAAAGCCCGCUCGCCGGAAGACCAAGGGUUCCUGUCCAACGUUAAUCGGGGCAGGGUGAGUCGACCCCUAAGGCGAGGCCGAAAGGCGUAGUCGAUGGGAAACAGGUUAAUAUUCCUGUACUUGGUGUUACUGCGAAGGGGGGACGGAGAAGGCUAUGUUGGCCGGGCGACGGUUGUCCCGGUUUAAGCGUGUAGGCUGGUUUUCCAGGCAAAUCCGGAAAAUCAAGGCUGAGGCGUGAUGACGAGGCACUACGGUGCUGAAGCAACAAAUGCCCUGCUUCCAGGAAAAGCCUCUAAGCAUCAGGUAACAUCAAAUCGUACCCCAAACCGACACAGGUGGUCAGGUAGAGAAUACCAAGGCGCUUGAGAGAACUCGGGUGAAGGAACUAGGCAAAAUGGUGCCGUAACUUCGGGAGAAGGCACGCUGAUAUGUAGGUGAAGUCCCUCGCGGAUGGAGCUGAAAUCAGUCGAAGAUACCAGCUGGCUGCAACUGUUUAUUAAAAACACAGCACUGUGCAAACACGAAAGUGGACGUAUACGGUGUGACGCCUGCCCGGUGCCGGAAGGUUAAUUGAUGGGGUUAGCCGCAAGGCGAAGCUCUUGAUCGAAGCCCCGGUAAACGGCGGCCGUAACUAUAACGGUCCUAAGGUAGCGAAAUUCCUUGUCGGGUAAGUUCCGACCUGCACGAAUGGCGUAAUGAUGGCCAGGCUGUCUCCACCCGAGACUCAGUGAAAUUGAACUCGCUGUGAAGAUGCAGUGUACCCGCGGCAAGACGGAAAGACCCCGUGAACCUUUACUAUAGCUUGACACUGAACAUUGAGCCUUGAUGUGUAGGAUAGGUGGGAGGCUUAGAAGUGUGGACGCCAGUCUGCAUGGAGCCGACCUUGAAAUACCACCCUUUAAUGUUUGAUGUUCUAACGUUGACCCGUAAUCCGGGUUGCGGACAGUGUCUGGUGGGUAGUUUGACUGGGGCGGUCUCCUCCUAAAGAGUAACGGAGGAGCACGAAGGUUGGCUAAUCCUGGUCGGACAUCAGGAGGUUAGUGCAAUGGCAUAAGCCAGCUUGACUGCGAGCGUGACGGCGCGAGCAGGUGCGAAAGCAGGUCAUAGUGAUCCGGUGGUUCUGAAUGGAAGGGCCAUCGCUCAACGGAUAAAAGGUACUCCGGGGAUAACAGGCUGAUACCGCCCAAGAGUUCAUAUCGACGGCGGUGUUUGGCACCUCGAUGUCGGCUCAUCACAUCCUGGGGCUGAAGUAGGUCCCAAGGGUAUGGCUGUUCGCCAUUUAAAGUGGUACGCGAGCUGGGUUUAGAACGUCGUGAGACAGUUCGGUCCCUAUCUGCCGUGGGCGCUGGAGAACUGAGGGGGGCUGCUCCUAGUACGAGAGGACCGGAGUGGACGCAUCACUGGUGUUCGGGUUGUCAUGCCAAUGGCACUGCCCGGUAGCUAAAUGCGGAAGAGAUAAGUGCUGAAAGCAUCUAAGCACGAAACUUGCCCCGAGAUGAGUUCUCCCUGAC